ACUCCUACGGGAGGCAGCAGUGGGGAAUUUUGGACAAUGGGCGAAAGCCUGAUCCAGCCAUGCCGCGUGCAGGAUGAAGGCCUUCGGGUUGUAAACUGCUUUUGUACGGAACGAAAAGGUUUGGCCUAAUAAGCUGAGCUCAUGACGGUACCGUAAGA
rnacentral:rRNA from 1 species